GGAGUCGUCAGAUACUUUAAUAGAACCAUCUGGUUUUUGUUCUUGUAUCAAGAGAGAUACAUUUCCUUUCACCUUUUCAGUAGAAGCCCUAAAAGUGCAUCUGUUUUAAAAGGUGACCCAUGCAAAGUAUAACAGGUAAGUGGGAUUAGAAGUUGCACAACUUAUUAGUAAUUUCAAAAUACCAAGAAAGCUUUUAUUUG